rnacentral:misc_RNA from 1 species
AAGUCGUAACAAGGUUUCCGUAGGUGAACCUGCGGAAGGAUCAUUACAAGUAUCCAAACUUUACCUAAUUGUGAACUGGUUGUGAUGAAUGUUGUAGCAGGAGAAGAAGAGUUUUGAUGUUGGGCAGAUGUCUCGUACAUGUGCCCAACAGCAGCACUCUGCUUUUCCUGUGAAAGUUCUCAACAAACUCUUGUUAAACUUAUUUUGUCUGAUAAUGUUAUAUGAUAAAUUUCAUACAACUUGCAGCGAUGGAUCUCUUGGCUCUG